GAUGAACGCUGGCGGCGUGCUUAACACAUGCAAGUCGAACGAAGCACUUGAAGCGGAUUCUUCGGAUGAAGUUUCCUGUGACUGAGUGGCGGACGGGUGAGUAACGCGUGGGUAACCUGCCUCAUACAGGGGGAUAACCGUUAGAAAUGGCUGCUAAUACCGCAUAAGCGCACAGCAUCGCAUGAUGCAGUGUGAAAAACUCCGGUGGUAUGAGAUGGACCCGCGUUGGAUUAGCUAGUUGGCAGGGUAACGGCCUACCAAGGCGACGAUCCAUAGGCGGCCUGAGGAGGUAGACGGCCACGGUGGGACUGACACACGGCCCAGGCUCCUACGGGAGGGAGCAGUGGGGAAUAUUGCACAAUGGGGGAAGCCCUGAUGCAGCGACUCCGCGUGAGCGAAGUAGUAUUGUAGUAUGUAAAGCUCUAUCAGCAGGGAAGAAAAUGACGGUACCUGACUAAGAAGCCCCGGCUAACUACGUGCCAGCCGCCGCGGUAA
rnacentral:rRNA from 1 species